rnacentral:rRNA from 1 species
UUUACCGGAGUACUAUGAAUAUUAAAAAUUUAAAACUCAAAGAACUUGGCGGUGUUUUAGACCACUUAGGGGAACCUGUCUCAUAAUCGAUAAUCCACGUUAUACCUGACCUUUUCUUGUAUUCAGUUUGUAUACCGUUGUCGUCAGGUAACUUUUUAGAGAUUAGAAGUUAGCAGCAGAAAUAAAAAUAAUUUAAUACGUCAAAUCAAGGUGCAGCUAACGAAAGGGGGAGGAUGGGUUACAAUUAUAUGAUUUAUAAUAACGGAUAAGUGUAUGAAGUAUAUUAAUUAUAAGGCGGACUUAAAAGUAAAUUAGGUUAUAUAAAUAAUUUGAAUAAGGCUCUGAAACGUGU